CCGAGUUUACAACUCCCAAGCCCCUGUGAACAUACCACUUGUUGCCUCGGCGGAUCAGCCCGCUCCCGGUAAAACGGGACGGCCCGCCAGAGGACCCCUAAGCUCUGUUUCUAUAUCGUAACUUCUGAGUAAAACCAUAAAUAAAUCA
rnacentral:misc_RNA from 1 species